CAUAAUUUUAUAAUUUAUAAUUUAAUUUGGCAUUAAAAUUACAAACAAUCUAUCCUCAGGUAGCAAGCUCAAUUAUUAUUAAUUGGUUCAUUUUAUAGAUGCAUGUUGAGAAUAUCUAUAUUUGUUAUUGAAAAAGAUUUAGAAAAUGCAAUUGAACACGUUCUUCAUAUGAUGUAUCAGCAAACUGCUUCUCGAAUUAAAAUCUUUUAACGAGGGUCACUACGAUCGACUGGACACUUGACCUCGUUGACCUGGUUUCCGAAUCAACUCUUCAAAUGUGUUAUAUACGAAUAUAUUAACAGGAAACCUAUGAAUAAUAAAAAUGCAAAUCUCCCAGCCACGAGAUCACUUUUCAACGUACAGAGAGAGUAUCCGACUAAACGUGGAGGUAAUUAGACUGGACGAAACUCGAGUUAAUUGAAGAGCAGGCGACAGUUAACUGGAAGACACUACGCUGGUCCAUUGUAUUCAGUCUAUAGCCCUCUAAAUCUCUCUCGCGACGGCUAGUGGAUAACUCUGAUCCUGAGACAAACUUAGCUAAAACCAGCUGGAUAUACAUGCACCAUGUUAAAUAGUAAUUAACUCCCGAACAUGGGGAUCGUGCACAGUGGACAUCACAUUGGAAAUUAACUAUGAUGAGUAAUUUAUACUUGAUUCUAUUUGAUAUUUUAUAUUUAAUAAUUUUAUUAGUGCCAAUGUUCCUCAUAUAUGUUAUUUUAAUCUAUUAAAAUAAAUUAAUUUGUA